rnacentral:rRNA from 1 species
UACGAAGGGGGCUAGCGUUGCUCGGAAUCACUGGGCGUAAAGCGCACGUAGGCGGAUUGCUAAGUCAGGGGUGAAAUCCUGGAGCUCAACUCCAGAACUGCCUUUGAUACUGGCGACCUUGAGUCCGGGAGAGGUGAGUGGAACUGCGAGUGUAGAGGUGAAAUUCGUAGAUAUUAGGAAGAACACCAGUGGCGAAGGCGGCUCACUGGCCCGGUACUGACGCUGAGGCGCGAAAGCGUGGGGGAGCAAACAGG